AUUAUUUUUUUUAUUUUUCCAGUGAUGAAAAUAUACCUUCUUGUGUUCCUGCCAUGACACAGUGGGUUAAGGAUCCAAAUGCAGUGGCUUGGGUUGCUGUGGAGGAGUGGGUUUGAUCCCUGGCCCAGUGCAGUGGGUUAGACGAUCCAGGGUUGCCAAAGCUGUGGCUCGGAUUCAAUCCCUGGCUCAGAAAGUUCCAUUUGCUGUAGCUAAGUGGAAUGGCUGGAUCACACACUAACUUCAUCUUUACUAUUUUGAGGAAUUAGCAACUACUGUCCAAAGCAGCCACACCAUUUCAUAUUCCCAACGGUAAUGUGUGAGAGGUCCAGUUUCUCCACAUCCUGCUACAUAAAAUGUACUUCUUUCACAGUAAAGCUGUCCUUAUUCACAAAAGAUGUGAUUGUUUGGGUGAAAAUACAGGAAUCUGCAAAAAAACUAUGAAAAUUAAGUAGUAGGGAGUUCCAGGAGUUCCCGUUGUGGUGCAGUGGUUAACGAAUCCAACUAGGAACCAUGGGGUUGUGGGUUCGAUCUCUGGCCUUGCUUGGUGGGUUUAGGAUCUGGCGUGGCCGUGAGCUGUGGUGUAAGUCACAGAUGCAGCUUGGAUCCCCCAUUGCUGUGGCUCUGGCGUGGGCCGGUGGCUACAGCUCCGAUUCGACCCCUAGCCUGGAAACCUCCAUAUGCCGCGAGGGAGUGGCCCUAGAAAAGGCAAGAAGACAGAAAAAAAAAAAAAAAAAAAAAAAGAAAAGAAAAGAAAAGAAAUAGGGAGUUGCUAUUGUGUGUGGCUCAGCGGAAACAAAUUCUCCUAGUAUCCCUGAGGAUGCGGGUUUGAUCCCUGGUCUCCAUCAGUGGGUCGGGGAUCUGGCAUUGCCAUGAGCUGUGGUGAAGGUCGAGGAUGAGGCUCGGAUCCCCCACAUUGCUGUGGCUGUGGCGUAGGCUGGUAGUUGUAGCUCUGAUUGGACUCCUAGCUGGGAACUUCCAUAUGCCCAAGGUGCAGCCCUAAAAAGCAGAAAAAAAAAAAAAAAGCAAAUUAAGAAAUUUGAUGCCAUUUGUAAUAGCAUUUAAAAAUGUAUACUAGAAAUGAAUCUAAGGAAAUAUAAGCAAGAACAUUAUAUAGAAAGCUAGUAAAAGUAUUGAGAUAAAUUAAUUUAUUAAAUUAUUUAAAAAGUAUAAGGCCACAGAUUAGAAGAUUGAAUUUAGUAAAGAUGUGAAUUGUCUUUCAAACUGAUUUAUAGAUUCAAUUCCUUCUCAAUCAAAACUGGAGUAAUUUUUUUGGUGUGAAUAGAUAUUAAAAACCUGAUUCUAAAUGUCUGAAAAGGGCCAAGGCAAAAAUGGCCACUAAUUUUGAAGAACACCAACAGAAUGGGAAAUAAUUUCCUCUACUGACAUCCAGACUUACAUCAAAGCUACAAUAAUUAAGAGAGCAUGAUGUUAUGGAGUUCCCGUUGUGGCUCAGUAGCUUAAGGACCCAACUUUGUCUCUGUGAGGAUGUGGGUUCAAUACUUGGCCUGACUCAGUGGGUUAAGGAUUCAGUGUUGCCAUGAGUUGCAGCAUGUGUUGCAGAUGUAGGUCAGAUCCAGUGUUGCUGUGGCUGUGGUGUAGGCCAUUAGCUGCAGCUCUGAUUCAGCCCCUGGCCCAGGAACUUCCAUCUGUUGUAGGUGUGGCUGUAAAAAGAAAAAAAAAAGUGAAUAUAAACAGACUGAUAAAAAAAAAAAGAAGAGUCCAGAAACAGAUCUACACAUAUGAGAGUGCCUGGUUCAUGAUAACAGUGGCAAUGUAGUAAACAAAGACCAAAGCAGCAGUGCAGAGCUGUGAGAGAAAGCUGAUGCUGGGUCAGCUGGGAUGCGUGGGCCGGGCAGGGGGGACCUGAUCCCUACCUCACUCCAUAUACAAAAAUCAAUUCCAGAAGGGUUGAGAUAACAAAUAUUAAGUGUAAAACAAUAAAACUUCAAAAGAUAACACAGGAGAAUGUCGUUCUGGUCUUGGGAUAGGAAAUGAUUUCUUAAACAGGCAAUAACACUGACCAUGCAGGAAAAAGAUAAAUUAGGCCAUCUUAGAUGUUCUGCUACUCAAAGACACUAUUAAGAGCUAAAACACAAGCUAUAAGUGGAAGAUCACUGCAACACAUAUAACUGAAAAGAGUUUAUCUUCAGAAUAGUCAAAGAACUAUAAAUCAUGAAGAAAAGGACAGACAAUCCAACAGGAACAUGGCCCUCAUAUGAACAUGCAGCUCAUAAAAGAGCAUUCCAUGGGAGUUCCCUGGUGGUCUAGUGGUUAGAAUUAAGCACUCUCACUGCGGUGGCCAGGGUUAAUUCCUGGUCUCAGAACUGAAAUCCACAUCCAGCCACAGCACACUGGGGCCAAAAAACCCAAACCAAACCAAAACAAAAAAAGGACAUACAAAUGGCAAACAAACAUAUGAAAAGGGGCUCAGUCUUCUCAUCGGGGAAAUUUAAGUUAAAACCAUGAUAAGAUACCAUAAAACAGCCCUCAGAAGAGCAAACAUUGUAAGAGAUGAUACCAAGUACUGUUGAGGAUGCAGAGUCUAUCCUUUUCUAUUGACGCUGUAACACAUCCCUAACACUUUAGUGGUUUAACCAACUCAAAGCUAUUAUCUCAGAGUUCAGUGGGUCUAACUGGGCUUAUUAAGGGGUCACAGGGAUGCACUGCUUUCUGGAGGAGAGUUCAUUUCCUUGCCUUUUUGGCUUUUAGAGACCCUCAUGCUCCUCGGCUCUUGGCUGCCUUUCAUCUUCAAGGCUGGCAAAGUUGCAUCUCUGACCAUCCCUCUUCCUUUCUCUUCCACAUUUAAGGACUUGUGAUGACAAGGGCCCAUACGGGUCAUCCAGGAUGAUCAGUAAUUUAAUCACAGCUGCAAAGUCCCUUUGCCACAUUAAGGUAACCUAUUCCCAGGUUCUAGGAAUAAGCACACAGACAUAUUUGGGGGCGGGGGGAUGUGGGAAUUAUUCUGCUUACCACGUAGAGCACCAUAACUUUUAUACAAUGCUCUUGGGACUAUAAAUUGGUACAACCACUUUAGAAAAUAUCUGGCAAUAUUUACUAAAACCAAACACAUGCAGAACCUACAUAAUCCAGCAAUUCCACUCCAAAAGAUGUCCACAUGGUUAUUUGUAACAAAGCCCCAAACUAGAAAAAACACAAGUGUCCAUCAACAUUUAGAAUGGGUAAAUAAAACUGGUAUAUUCAUGUUAUGGAAUAUGUAUAGCAAUGAAGACUGAACCACUGCUACAUGCUAUAAAAUCAACGCCUUGCAUGGACGUCCUGUUAAUUACAAGAAGCCAAAUGCUGCAGAAUACUUUCCAUGUGAUCCCACUUACUCAAAAUUUUUAAAUGGGCAAAACUAAUCUUUGGUGUUAGAGUCAGCUUACAGGCUACCUUUGUGGGAGUGCACGAUGAUUGUAAAAGGACUUGCGCUGGGCUUCUCAGUGUGGGUAAAAUUCUUCCGGAGUGGAGGCUGCCUGUAAAUGAACCCUCUGUAAUAAUUCUUCAGCCUAUGUCUUAUGAUUGGGGCAAUUUUUUCUGUAUGCAUGUUUUGCCUUAUAAGUUUAUUAAGCACUCAAACAAUGUGAAUAUACUGAAUACUACAGAAAUGUACAUUUAAAAAUGGUUAGGAUGGUAAAUUUAAUGCUAUGUCUUUUCCCGUCACAAUUUUAAAAAAUGUAUUAAGAAAAAAAAAUUGCCUCUUCCAGAAAAAUCUGGGUGACGAAAAUCUAACGCAGCACCUAAGGAUUUUAAACAGUAUGAAUUUUUCUCUGUAUCAUCUUUAGGAAGAAAUUAAUGAAGAGGAGGAAGAGAGGGAGAAGGGAGGGGAGAGGCAGGGAGGAGGAGAAGGAAGAGGAAAAGAAAAUGCUUACCCGACUUAAUUUGAUUAUUGAAUACUACUCUUUGUUUCUGAGGAAGAGUGUUCCCCAGGUAGGUUAGAGGCACCGAAUCCUUGGAUUCCUCCCUCCUCUUUGGAUCUUUGGCUCUCCUUCCAGCAGCCGCCCCUUAAGGAUGCUCGGGCCCUCCUACAGCACCCCCCCCAACACACACACCCGCCCCCGCGUCCCUGGGGUGAGUGUCCCCCAGCCUGAAACUGGAGGGAGAAGGAAGCGCAGUCGCCGCCAUCCAGAGGCCAGAGCUCCGCGUCCUGGGUCUGCGGAUGCGGAGCAGUCACCUCACCUCUUUCUGAUGCGGUUUCCAGGUCUGCGAAGUGGAAAUCGCGGUGGGGGGUGGGGGGAGUGCCUUUCUCGACGGCUGUUGCGAGGGUCAAAGGAGUUCAUACGUGUAGUGCGGUCACCAAGGCUGGCGCGUGGUGAGACGCACUAGGGAGUCGGUGGAGAACCGCCCGGAGACCCUCUACUCUGCACCCCUGUGCAUCCCAAUCAUCCCGCGUGUGGGGCGCAGCGUUGGUGCCUUGGCUGGAUUCUUAGCGGCCACUGCACCUGGGCAAGUGGAUGGGACAGCCCCCCACCUAACUGUGCUCCGGAGGGACCCGACGCCCCCUGCCCACACAGCGCCCUCUUCCAUCCUUCUGAGUUUGGGAAAUAACGCGCGUAUUAGGAACUUAACGCCGCCGACUCCAUCCUCGAGCUGUUUAACUUCCGCAGAUUUCGGCCUC
rnacentral:lncRNA from 1 species